CAUAUCAAUAAGCGGAGGAAAAGAAACUAACAAGGAUUCCCCUAGUAACUGCGAGUGAAGCGGGAAAAGCUCAAAUUUAAAAUCUGGCGGUCUCUGGCCGUCCGAGUUGUAGUCUGGAGAAGUGCUUUCCGCGCUGGACCGUGUAUAAGUCUCUUGGAACAGAGCGUCAUAGAGGGUGAGAAUCCCGUCUUUGACACGGACUACCAGUGCUUUGUGAUGCGCUCUCAAAGAGUCGAGUUGUUUGGGAAUGCAGCUCAAAAUGGGUGGUGAAUUCCAUCUAAAGCUAAAUAUUGGCGAGAGACCGAUAGCGAACAAGUACCGUGAGGGAAAGAUGAAAAGCACUUUGGAAAGAGAGUUAAACAGUACGUGAAAUUGCUGAAAGGGAAACGCUUGAAGUCAGUCGCGUUGUCCGGAACUCAGCCUUGCUUUUGCUUGGUGCACUUUCCGGAUGACGGGUCAGCAUCGAUUUUGACCGUCGGAAAAGGGCUGGAGUAAUGUGGCACCUCCGGGUGUGUUAUAGACUCUGGUCGCAUACGGCGGUUGGGAUCGAGGAACGCAGCGCGCCGCAAGGCAGGGGUUCGCCCACUUUCGCGCUUAGGAUGCUGGCAUAAUGGCUUUAAACGACCCGUCUUGAAACACGGACCAAGGAGUCUAACAUACCUGCAAGUGUUUGGGUGGUAAACCCGAGCGCGUAAUGAAAGUGAAAGUUGAGAUCCCUGUCGUGGGGAGCAUCGACGCCCGGACCAGACGUUCUCUGACGGAUCCGCGGUAGAGCAUGUAUGUUGGGACCCGAAAGAUGGUGAACUAUGCCUGAAUAGGGUGAAGCCAGAGGAAACUCUGGUGGAGGCUCGUAGCGAUUCUGACGUGCAAAUCGAUCGUCAAAUUUGGGUAUAGGGGCGAAAGACUAAUCGAACCAUCUAG
rnacentral:rRNA from 1 species